ACAGCUCCCAGCUCUGCCACAGUCCUCUGGGGAGGCAGGGGUCAGACAGGGACAUCUAUUUUCCCCGAGGGUGUAGAGUUCCGCCAGUUUCAAGAGACCACCCUUGAAGAGACCUGAGAGGCAGGCUUUUACCCCAGCCCUCACCCCAGCAAAGGACCAGGCUAAGCCAACAGCAGAGACCGUGCCCACAGCAGGGUGUCACCUACAGUGCAGCUGGGCUACCUGCAGCCAACGGAAGAGGCUGUUGUGGCAACACCUGAGGGAGGACUGACCUGGGCAUCUGAUAGGAAGUAGGCAUUGCCGCGUCCUAAGCGCAGGAAAGAGCAAGGGGCGAGGGGAAGGGCAGCAAGUGGCUGUAAAAACACAUGAAGAGGAAUGACCCAGGAGCAGAACCUGGAGGGACGCAGCACCAGCCAGUGGCGAGAAGGAAAGGAUGACUGAGGACCAGGGGUAGAUCAGCCGGUUCGGUAUCUUGGAACUUAUAGAAGGGGUUUGGGGCCAAGCCAUGUUCAGGGGAGGAGACACAGACACGGAGCAACA